GCAUAUCAAUAAGCGGAGGAAAAGAAACUAACAAGGAUUCCCCUAGUAGCGGCGAGCGAAGCGGGAAGAGCUCAAAUUUAUAAUCUGGCACCUUCGGUGUCCGAGUUGUAAUCUCUAGAAAUGUUUUCCGCGUUGGACCGCACACAAGUCUGUUGGAAUACAGCGGCAUAGUGGUGAGACCCCCGUAUAUGGUGCGGACGCCCAGCGCUUUGUGAUACAUUUUCGAAGAGUCGAGUUGUUUGGGAAUGCAGCUCAAAUUGGGUGGUAAAUUCCAUCUAAAGCUAAAUAUUGGCGAGAGACCGAUAGCGAACAAGUACCGUGAGGGAAAGAUGAAAAGCACUUUGGAAAGAGAGUUAACAGUACGUGAAAUUGUUGGAAGGGAAACGCUUGAAGUCAGACUUGCUUGCUGAGCAAUCGGUUUGCAGGCCAGCAUCAGUUUUCCGGGAUGGAUAAUGGUAGAGAGAAGGUAGCAGUUUCGGCUGUGUUAUAGCUCUCUGCUGGAUACAUCUUGGGGGACUGAGGAACGCAGUGUGCCUUUGGCGGGGGUUUCGACCUCUUCACACUUAGGAUGCUGGUGGAAUGGCUUUAAACGACCCGUCUUGAAACACGGACC
rnacentral:rRNA from 2 species